rnacentral:rRNA from 1 species
GAUGAACGCUGGCGGCGUGCCUAAUACAUGCAAGUCGAGCGAACAGACGAGGAGCUUGCUCCUCUGACGUUAGCGGCGGACGGGUGAGUAACACGUGGAUAACCUACCUAUAAGACUGGGAUAACUUCGGGAAACCGGAGCUAAUACCGGAUAAUAUAUUGAACCGCAUGGUUCAAUAGUGAAAGACGGUUUUGCUGUCACUUAUAGAUGGAUCCGCGCCGCAUUAGCUAGUUGGUAAGGUAACGGCUUACCAAGGCAACGAUGCGUAGCCGACCUGAGAGGGUGAUCGGCCACACUGGAACUGAGACACGGUCCAGACUCCUACGGGAGGCAGCAGUAGGGAAUCUUCCGCAAUGGGCGGAAGCUUGACGGAGCAACGCCGCGUGAGUGAUGAAGGUCUUCGGAUCGUAAAACUCUGUUAUUAGGGAAGAACAAAUGUGUAAGUAACUAUGCACGUCUUGACGGUACCUAAUCAGAAAGCCAAGGCUAACUACGUG